CCCGACCCGGCAUAUUAACAUAACCAUUGCUUUUUGGGGGGGGAGACACAAUGAAGACUUGCAGAGGAGAGAAAGAGACGACAAGGAAGAAGAUUAGAGAGAGAUAAAGAGAGUGGAGAGCACAGAGUGCAGAUGAGAGAGAUAAAUCGACUCUUUUACCCGUGGACGAAACAGAGGCGUUAGAGACACGACGAAGAAGAAACAGUGCAGAGGAGAGAGAGAGAGACGACAACGAAGAAGAACAUAGAUAGAGAGACGACAAAGAAGAACAGGGAGAGUGAGUGACGAAGAACAGGGAGAGUGAGUGACGAAGAACAAAGAGAGAGAGAGAGAGAGAUAGUGACGAAGCAGAGAUGGCGAGAGGGA
rnacentral:lncRNA from 1 species